AGGACGAACGCUGGCGGCGUGCUUAACACAUGCAAGUCGAGCGGAAAGGCCCUUCGGGGUACUCGAGCGGCGAACGGGUGAGUAACACGUGAGCAAUCUGCCCCUAGCUCUGGGAUAGCUCCGGGAAAACCGGGAUUAAUACCAGAUACAACCACUUUAGACAUCUUUUGUGGUGGAAAGGAUUCCGGCUAGGGAUGAGCUCGCGGCCUAUCAGCUUGUUGGUGAGGUAACGGCUCACCAAGGCGACGACGGGUA
rnacentral:rRNA from 1 species